CUUAGUUCCAGCCAGGAUAGUUAAGUUUACAGCUCCUCUGGAGGCUGGGAGGAGGUGGGGAGCAGCUAUUAGUGGGCCUCAGGUAAUAAAUCAAACCGAUACAAAACAACGUGCUGCAGUGGUUAUGGUGUUUGAAGUGUGCCUUUAUGUAAUUCUCCUUGAUAAGUGGACUGUCAUUUAACAGACACUCAGUUCUGAUCCACUGCCUCAUCAUUCACCACACCUUAUGUGAUGGGGACUGAAAACAAAUGGGCAGGGAUCCUUUGGCCUCUGUAUAGCCCAGAAUGGACUACCAUAAUCCACAUGGUGGACUACCAGAAUCGCACACUUAAAUGAGUUGUGUGACUUGUAAAGAACUUUAAAAAAAUUUUUUUCUAAGAAAUAAAUACUCUAAAAUAUUUCCAAGUUGUUAGUGCACAAGCAGAAUGAACACAAGAAACACA